GUACUUGCUCUGGCAGCACAUAUACUAAAAUUGGAACAAUAUGGAGAAGAUUAACAUGGCCCCUUUGCAAGGAUGACACAUAAAUUCAUGAAGCGUUCCAUAUUUAA
rnacentral:snRNA from 1 species